AGCACGUGCCACCACAUCCAGCUAUUUUUGUAUUUUUAGUAGAGACGGGGUUUCACCGUGUUGGUCAGGCUGGUCUCCAACUCCUGACCUCAGGCGAUCUGCCUGCCUCAGCCUCCCAAAGUGCUGAGAUUCCAGGCAUGAGCCACCGUGCCCGGACUUAAGAAUUUUUUGUUUUUAAUUAUGCAAUCAAUACAUCUUCCUUGCAGAAAAACUGGAAUAUAGAGCAAAAAAGCUCAAUCCCCAGGUUUACAAAUGAUGAUUAUAAUAGCAGCAGCUACUAGUAAAUAUUGUUUCCAAUUACCAUAUGCCUGCACUUUCAGGUCCAUUAUCUUCCUUAUUUAUUCUCCAUAAUCUUGAAAUGAAGUCAUUUUUACUGAAAGAAGUAUAGUAGGGGUUAAGAAUACAGGAUUUGGGCAAGGCACAGUGGCUCAUGCCUGUAAUCCCAGCACUUUGGGAGGCUGAGGCGGGCAGAUCACUUGAGUACAAGAGUUCAAGACCAGCCUGGGCACCAAAAGAAGUAGAUUCCUAAAAACCAAAACUGGUCAUUUUUAAAGUGUCCUAGCUGAGUCUUACAGUUUUUACCUCUGUACCAUGUCUAGUAAUAGAAAAGGAAUUAAAUGAUCAGUAUACUAAAAUGCCUAAUGGUGAAUCAUUUAGUCUGAGGGCAUGUGUCAUAUCUCCUUAACUCUUAAAUAGUUGGUCUGUCAUCUAAUUAAGAACGAUGACUCUCACAAAAGUUUAUCGUAUCUGGAAUUCUUUUUAAAUGAAAAAAGGCCGGCAACAGUGGCUCAUGCCUGUAAUCCCAGCACUUUGGGAGGUAGAGGUGGGCGGAUUGCUUGAGGCCAGGGGUUGAAACCAGCAUGGCCAACAUGACAAAAUACCACCUCCACUAAAAAUACAAAAAUUAGCCUGUAAUCCCAGCUACUGAGGAGGCUGAGGCAGGAGAAUCGCUGGAACCCGGGAGGCGAAGGUUGCAGUGACCUGAGAUCGCGCCACUGCACUCAAGUCUGAAUGACAGAGCGAGACUCCAUCUCAAAAAGAAAAAAAAAAAAAAAGAAACAGAAAAGAAAAGAGGGUAAUUUUGGACUUCGGUGAGGGCUCAACCACCUUAAAUAUGGCAGGUUGCAAGCACACAGCUUGCAGCACCCAUUCACCAAAUGGAGUAAUGCUAACCUUCUCAAUUUUUGUCAACCAUAAGACAAACAAUCCUCCUCUUCCUCUACAAUUUCUUGACAAUUAUAGCACCAAUUUUGAGCCAUUCAAAAACCAGGUCUGUAAGACACUGGAUAAAAUGUAUGAAGUCAACAAGAACAACCAUACUAGAUUUCAGGGGUAAUCACAAAUCCUCAUCCUAACUGCUAAGUUUGUUAGCUUGAAACUUGAGGGCACCAAUACCUCCCAGAAUUGUUGGGAGACUUUAAAAGCAGAGUUUCUCAGCCAGGCGUGGUGGCUCACACCUGUAAUCCCAGCACUUUGGGAGGCUGAGGCGGGCGGAUCACCUGAGGUCGGGAGUUUGAGACCAGCCUGACCAACAUGGAGAAACCCCAUCUCUACUAAAAAUACAAAAUUAGCCGGGCGUGGUGGUGCAUCCCUGUAAUCUCAGUUACUUGGGGGGCUGAGGCAGAAGAAUCGCUUGAACCCAGGAGGCGGAGGUUGCAGUGAGCCGAGAUCGCACCAUUGCACUCCAGCCCGGGCAACAAGAGCGAAACUCAGUCUCAAAAAAAAAAAAAAAAAAAGAAGGAAAGAAAGAAAAGCAGAGUUUCUCAACCAAGACGCUGUCGGCUUUGGGGGCCGGAGAAGUCUUAGUUGCGGGGGGCUGUCUUGGCCAUUGUAGGAUGUUGAGCAGCAUAACCGGCCUCUACCCACUACCAGAAGCACCCACUCCCCACUUUCAACAACCAAAAAUGUCCCAUACAUUGCCAAAUGUCCCCGGGGGGUCGUGGGUGCAAAAUCACCUCCAACUGAGAGCACUACUGCUUUAAAGAGAUAGCAAUAAUGAAAAGAUUAAAGCAUCAAAGCACUUUAGAACAGGAAGGGAUUUUAAGGAGCCUGAGAACCCGUGAUUCUCAAACUUUGCUAGGUAUCAGCCUCCCUGGGGAGUUUGUUAAAAAUGCGGCACCUGGACCUCACCCCAGACCUAUCAAUAGAGUCAAGUGUUGGGUUCUGCCCCAGCACCAACAUCCUCAUUCUACAGCUAAGUUAACGUCGGCCAGAGAGGGAAAAUGCCUUGCCCAAGGUCACAGGGCGAGUUAGAACCUGGACUCCAAAACCAACCAAGCCCUUCCUUACAACAAGGAGAGUGUGCUAUUCUUACGUCUUUGAGGCAGCAGAACCUAAAAAUGGUUAAGACGGUGCAUUCCGGAGCCAGCCGGCCCGAGUUAAAAUCCCGACUUGGCAUUUAUCAGCGGGGCGGCCUCGCACAAGGCACGUAGCGUCUGAGGACCUGUUUCCUUCUCUGUCCAGUGGAAAAGUAACAGUACCUACCCACCAGCGUUAUUGGAAAGGUGAAGAGAGAAGAUAUUUAAAAAGCCCGUCGCACGGUAAGCACUCGAUACGUGUCCUAUUAUUAGGACUGUCCCACACCUGCAAAGUGGAAGGGGUCUGGGGAUCCCGGGGACAGAGGGCUGGAAAUGGGCUCAGGGAGGCGAAACGACCCC
rnacentral:lncRNA from 1 species